rnacentral:lncRNA from 1 species
AAUAAAUUUGAACAAUCAACACCACCAACACUGACACCUAAAAAUCAAUUAAUUCUUCCUCUAAAAAAAAAAAAAAUCAAUUAAUUCACAGUUUCAAAGCUUCAAAAGUUAUGUCAAAUUACAAUCAAAUCAAUAUAUACUUUUCCCCACAAUACAUUUCCAAUCAUUUUUACAAUAAUAACACCAAAUUAUAACAUUGUUACAAUAGUAACACGUACCAAAUUGUAUUAUACACUACUUAUACCUAUAUCUCCAUACGUUUUUGCAUCCGGCCUCUUGGUACUGGUCGCUUCAUCCUCUUAGACCUUGUCCAUUGCGCGAAAACCUGUGCGAAUCUGAGCCACCGCCGUAGGGUGGCGGCGGGCCUCCGCGACCCCCUCGGGGGUGCGGGGCACGGGGGCGGGAUCCGCUGCUGAACCGGCCGGUAGAACGGCACCGCAAACCGGGCUGGGCUCGGCGCGGAGUAGCUCCUCCUCAGAAUGGUCUUGUUCAGCUGGAUCUCGAUCCUGAGCCGCUCGAACUCGUCGAGAAGUGUCGAGUGGCGCGCCCCGUAGCACAC